AUUGAACGCUGGCGGCAGGCCUAACACAUGCAAGUCGAGCGGAUGAAGGGAGCUUGCUCCUGGAUUCAGCGGCGGACGGGUGAGUAAUGCCUAGGAAUCUGCCUGGUAGUGGGGGAUAACGUCCGGAAACGGGCGCUAAAACCGCAUACGUCCUGAGGGAGAAAGUGGGGGAUCUUCGGACCUCACGCUAUCAGAUGAGCCUAGGUCGGAUUAGCUAGUUGGUGGGGUAAAGGCCUACCAAGGCGACGAUCCGUAACUGGUCUGAGAGGAUGAUCAGUCACACUGGAACUGAGACACGGUCCAGACUCCUACGGGAGGCAGCAGUGGGGAAUAUUGGACAAAGGGCGAAAGCCUGAUCCAGCCAUGCCGCGUGUGUGAAGAAGGUCUUCGGAUUGUAAAGCACUUUAAGUUGGGAGGAAGGGCAGUAAGUUAAUACCUUGCUGUUUUGACGUUACCAACAGAAUAAGCACCGGCUAACUUCGUG
rnacentral:rRNA from 1 species